AACGAACGCUGGCGGCAGGCUUAACACAUGCAAGUCGAACGCACCUUUCGGGGUGAGUGGCAGACGGGUGAGUAACGCGUGGGAAUCUACCCUUCUCUACGGGAUAGCUCCGGGAAACUGGAAUUAAUACCGUAUACGUCCUGAGGGAGAAAGAUUUAUCGGGGAAGGAUGAGCCCGCGUUGGAUUAGCUAGUUGGUGGGGUAAAGGCCUACCAAGGCGACGAUCCAUAGCUGGUCUAAGAGGAUGAUCAGCCACAUUGGGACUGAGACACGGCCCAAACUCCUACGGGAGGCAGCAGUGGGGAAUAGUGGACAAUGGGCGCAAGCCUGAUCCAGCCAUGCCGCGUGAGUGAUGAAGGCCCUAGGGUUGUAAAGCUCUUUCAGUGGGGACGAUAAUGACGGUACCCACAGAAGAAGCCCCGGCUAACUUCGUG
rnacentral:rRNA from 1 species